rnacentral:rRNA from 1 species
AACCCGGGGAACUGAAACAUCUAAGUACCCGGAGGAAGAGAAAACAAUAGUGAUUCCGUUAGUAGCGGCGAGCGAAAGCGGAUUAGCCCAAACCCAUGUUGUUACGGCAAUAUGGGGGUUGUAGGACCACGACAUUUGAUGCUCUAUGAAUUAGAAUCUGUUGGAAAUCAGAACCGAAGAGGGUGAUAGUCCCGUAUAAGUAAAGAAAGUUAUCAAUAGUGGUAUCCUGAGUAGCGCGGGGCACGGGAAACCUUGCGUGAAUCUGCCGGGACCAUCCGGUAAGGCUAAAUACUCCUGAGAGACCGAUAGUGAACCAGUACCGUGAGGGAAAGGUGAAAAGAACCCUGAAUAAGGGAGUGAAAUAGAUCCUGAAACCAUACGCUUACAAGCGGUCGGAGCCCUACGGGGUGACGGCGUGCCUUUUGCAUAAUGAGCCUACGAGUUACCGUUGCUGGCAAGGUUAAGUACUUCAGGUACGGAUCCGUAGCGAAAGCGAGUCUGAAUAGGGCGCUUUAGUCAGCAGUGGUAGACGCGAAACCGUGUGAUCUACCCAUGGGCAGGGUGAAGCAGUGGUAACACACUGUGGAGGCCCGAACCCGUUGACGUUGAAAAGUCUUGGGAUGACCUGUGGGUAGGGGUGAAAGGCCAAUCAAACUCGGAAAUAGCUCGUACUCCCCGAAAUGCAUUUAGGUGCAGCGUUGUAUUAGUUUCCAAGAGGUAGAGCUACUGAUUGGAUGCGGGGGCUUCACCGCCUACCAAUUCCUGACAAACUCCGAAUGCUUGGAAAUGAUUUACAGCAGUGAG